ACAAAAACAGGGGAAAUUGAGAAAAACUGGAAGAUUUGUUUCUUUGAAUUGUGAAGGGAUACAGUGAUUCUGCAAUCGUGGCAGCGUCCUUCCCUGCUUGCGGCGAAUAAGCGUUUGCAGUGCUCGACAUACUGAGGGUUCUCGAGAGGCAUCAGGAUGAAGUUAUGGAGUCGAGGAUCGAUGUUAAUGAUGAGAAGGUGAUGACAUUCACAGCCACAUUGAGGCUUGGAGGUGAUGGAAGCAGCGCAAUUGAUAUGCUGAGGCAAGACAUACUAAUUUAUUAUACUGAAUUAAUGAACACAAAUUGAUUUUGAAAAUUUGGUUGCUAACUGAUACUAUGUGGUAGGCUAUUAGGCUUCUUAAUUGGGAUUGAGUUUGUAAGUAAAUUAUACUAUGAGUAGAUAUGACUGGAUUGGUCUAUUGUUAUAGACUUUGAUUAGUUAAUUGUGAUUCAGUAUGACUGGAUUGGUCUAUUGUUAUAGACCUUGAUUUUA